rnacentral:sRNA from 1 species
CCGCUUUCACAUACUGGAAUUGUUGAAAGAUUGUGGAUUAGAGAAAAAUGUAAGUUAUUUAAAAAAAAAUACCGAAAAAAUUGGUGUACAAUAGAGAAUUUGUACAAAUGAGGUUUUCAAUGCACAUAUUAAAUUUGAUUGUAUAAGAUAGUUUGGAGUUGGUUAGUAAAGAUCUGGAUAAAAUCAGGGAUUAUGUUACAUAUGUGCAGGGGUCUAAGUCUAGAGAAAACAUGUUUCAAAACUGUACGAAAACAGUUGGCAUUCAAGUUAAAAAAAAAUCUGAUUUUAAAUGUCACAACUUAGAGUGUUAGUUGUCUCAUUGAGAACUGCAAAAAACAAACUAAUAUUAUGCUCUGUAGAAUUUGUUAUGUUCAUCUUCUCUAUGUUCUUGAAUUGUAUCCAAUGUUUAAUGAACCAGUCAUGGACAAGCAUAUUAUGAAGCGGGCAUUAAAUGGUCAUUGUCGUUAACGAACAUGGGCUUUAACGGACUGGACGUGAUGGAUAUGAGCGGCCCAAUGGUCAUAAAAUAUUAGGAUAAGUGAUUUGGGGCAAAAUAGAAAAACACUAAUCGUCGAAAAAUAUUUCUUGGUUUCUCCGACAGUCUGGCGAUUACUUUGGCGAUUACUUCUUUCUCCGGCGAAUUCCCUUCAACAUCUUGUCUCCAUCACAUCAUGGCUUCUCCGAAGAUUCCUAAUCCAGUUAGUUCGAUUCAAGUUUGCAAUAACUAGUGUUCGAUAACUAGGUUUUGCAAUUCAAGGUUUUUUCGAUUUCAAUUUAAGAUCCUACGAUUUUGAAAGAGACCCAUUUUCUUUUGUUUAAGAUCAUAGAUGAAGUUCCUGGUAGGUUCUGUUUAACAACAGAUCUUUGGAGAUCAUUUACAAUAUAGGGCUACAUGUGUUUGACUGCACAUUAUAUCGAAUUCGAAGACGAAGAUUCUGUCAUUUUGUGCAUUCCCUAUUCCACAUACUGGUUUUGUUAUAGCCACAAAGGUCUUGGCAUUGUUAAAAGAGUGGGGGAUAGAAAAGAGAGUGUUUACUAUCACAGUCGAUAAUGCAUCAUCAAAUGACAAUAUGCAAGGACUCCUCAAUUUCAAUCCAUUUGAGUCUUAACGCAAAUGUAUUUUUCUGUUGUACUUAAGUGAUCUUAUUGAGUUCGUUAAUGAAGACAAAGAUGGCAAGGGAGAAGAAGAAGAAGUUUAAAUUUGCUUUCAAUUUGCUUUUGGAUUUGAUACUUUGUUGAAUACUUGAAUUGUGUUUAAACUUGCUUUAGAUUUAAUACUUUGUUGUUUAAAUUUGCUUUGGAUUUAAUACUUUGUUGUUUAAAUUUGCUUCGUUGAAUACUUGAAUUGUGAUAUUUUCAAAGUAUUAGACUUCAUACUUAUGUAUUGAUUGAAAUAUGAAUCAAAAACUAUUUGUGUUCAAAUUUGGUUCUUUUCUGACUAUAAAUAUGAUAUUUAUAUAUGGUUAAUACACUACUUUGUAUAUAAAAAUAAUAAAUUAUGUUAUGAUUCUUAUACUGAUCAUAUCUCAGAGGUGUUAUUUUAAAUUUUCUCAUAAUACU